AGAUUGAACGCUGGCGGCAUGCCUUACACAUGCAAGUCGAACGGCAGCACGGGAGCAAUCCUGGUGGCGAGUGGCGAACGGGUGAGUAAUACAUCGGAACGUGCCCAAUCGUGGGGGAUAACGCAGCGAAAGCUGUGCUAAUACCGCAUAAGAUCUACGGAUGAAAGCAGGGGAUCGCAAGACCUUGCGCGAAUGGAGCGGCCGAGUGGCAGAUUAGGUAAGUUGGUGAGGUAAAGGCUCACCAAGCCUUCGAUCUGUAGCUGGUCUGGAGAGGACGACCAGCCCACACGUGGGACCUGGAGACACCGGCCCAGACGUCCUACGGGAGGCAGCGAGGUGGGUAACUUUUGGACAAGU
rnacentral:rRNA from 1 species